GUCUACAACUAUACCUCCCUGAGCAUGCCCAAUCUCAUCUGAUCUCGGGAGCUAAGCAGGGUCUGGCCUGGUUUGUACUUGAAUGGGAGACUGCCUGGGAAUACCAGGUGCUGUAGGCU
ensembl:rRNA n-R5s86 nuclear encoded rRNA 5S 86